UUCCCAACCACAGAAUCAGCCCAGGACCCACAGCACUCACUUGUCAAGCCUGCCUGGGGCCUACAUGGGUGCCAUGGGGGAGAUCCCCAAGGCUGUGACUGUACUGAGGCUCACAAUGGAGCCAGCACAUGCAGAGCAGCCAAGAGCCCCCCAAGAGCUGGGUCAUCUGUCGCUAUCUGCAGUCUGGGGUGGGUGAGGUCAUGGUGUGCUAGCCUGGCCUGGCAAGGGGACACUGAGGAGGCAAAACACGAUGGGGGAGCCUUGGAUAGGGGCGCAGGGCACGGACCAAAGGAGCUCCUGGGCUAGAGGGGGCAGAACAAUUUGGCUGCAGAAUGGGGCUCAAGGGAAGACCAACAGGAGAUAAAGCAGUGAAGGUCCGACCUAUCAUCUGUUGCUCUGGAGUCUAGAGAAGUCCCACUAUUUGUUCCAUAAAAUAUAACUCCUUAGAUUGACUACCCUUGCAACCUGUAACUGCCCCACCAGCCUUCAGGGACCCCCCCACACCUCACAGAAGUGGCAGCUCUCUCUUGGCCUCAGGAUACAUUCUUGUUCCGGCCUACAAAGAACCUUUCCUGAAGGGCCAGUUCAGAUGCAAACUGCUUCACCAGACCUUCUGGGAGCCUUUCUCCCCUCAUGACAACUGAACACUCUUCAUAUUCUAAAGGGCACCACUGGGUACGUUUGCCUCAGGCCCAGAUCUUGUUGCAUGAUCCGGGCUUUGCCCGGAACCUUCUUCCUAAGGCUGCACCUGUCUGAACCACUUCUUUCCCCAGCAAGGCUGCGAUCCCACCUGGGUGGCUACUUAACUGCUGCAGCUCUAGUCUGAAGGCCACAAGCAGGAGUCAUCAGCAGAUAUCAGGGAAGUGGUCAUAUCCUGACCUCCUGGGGGCAGAGAACUGGCCCCAUGCUAACUCCAGGUUUCCGGGCUUGGUUCCCAAGAGAUGUGGCCAUGACUGGGAAACUUACCUUGAGGUCCUUGUUAAGGCCGAUGACACAGGUAGGAGUGUAAGCCAGGGACAGGAAGUGA